AACGAACGCUGGCGGCAUGCCUAACACAUGCAAGUCGAACGAGAUCUUCGGGUCUAGUGGCGCACGGGUGCGUAACGCGUGGGAAUCUGCCCUUUGGUUCGGAAUAACAGUUGGAAACGACUGCUAAUACCGGAUGAUGACGAAAGUCCAAAGAUUUAUCGCCAGAGGAUGAGCCCGCGUAGGAUUAGCUAGUUGGUGUGGUAAAGGCGCACCAAGGCGACGAUCCUUAGCUGGUCUGAGAGGCUGAUCAGCCACACUGGGACUGAGACACGGCCGAGACUCCUACGGGAGGCAGCAGUGGGGAAUAGUGGACAAUGGGCGAAAGCCUGAUCCAGCAAUGCCGCGUGAGUGAUGAAGGCCUUAGGGUUGUAAAGCUCUUUUACCCGGGAUGAUAAUGACAGUACCGGGAGAAUAAGCGCCGGCUAACUCCGUGCCAGCCGCCGCAGUAA
rnacentral:rRNA from 1 species